rnacentral:rRNA from 1 species
AUGGAGGGAGAGGAGGAUGACGACCGCAUCAGCCAUCUCCCCGACUGCCUGCUGGGCAACAUCGUCUCCCUCCUCCCCGUCAAGAACGCAGCCUGCACCAUGCUUCUCUCCCGCCGCUGGCGGCACAUCUGGCCGUCGGUGCCGCUCGACCUAUACCUUGACGGCAGCAACAGGAAUCUUGGCUCCCACGGCCAGUCAAUCCUGCGCAUCCUUUCCUCCCACGGCGAUGGGCCCAUCCGUCGCUUCCACGCCACCAUCUCCGCGCACAAGGCGACCUCUAGCUGGCUACAAAUCCUAUCCAACCAGCCCAUCGACGACAGCCUCGUGCUCAAGUUCGUGCCGCACGCCGCGCACCCGCCGCUCCCCCGCGACCUCCUACGGCCCAGCGCCGGCGUCCUCCGCCAUCUGGAGCUGCACUGCUGCUGCCUCGACCAUCAGCCUGGAGUAGCUCCGCCUUUGCAGAGCCUGCAUUACCUUCACUUGUCCAACGUGGUGAUCCCCGAGGCGUCGUUGCACUCCAUGAUCGCCGGCUGUCUAGCCCUACGGAAGCUAGAGCUCUUCAGGGUCCAUAACCUUCGCCGGCUCGUCCCUUGCUCACGUACCCUCGUCGAGGUGUACAUCAGGCCACACGUCCCGCUUGAAGAGGUCCGAAAGGUUGCUCUCACGCUUCCAAUGCUGCACUCGCCCAACUUUGUGAUUACGCCUAAGAGGCCAGUAUCCAUCAUUACAACACUUAUCCUCAACAUGAAAUUUAGUGAUGGUGAAGAACUGAGGAAGGCUGCCAACAUGUUAGGCUUGUUCCCCUGUUUGCAAGUUCUUCAGAUUUGGUGCCUCGCCUUUGAAUGGACGGAUAAACAUGCGUUUGGACAGUGGCAACCAGCAGCCGAUACAAUUACCUGCCUAAAUGAGCGUCUCAAAUACGUGGAGCUUCAUGGGUAUUAUGGCACUACAGGGGAGGUGCAAUUUGCAGGUUUCCUCAUGGCCGGAGCAAAAGCUCUGAGGGCCAUGCAUGCAAAUACUGCACGGCAGUAA